CACUUUCCGAUUGUUUUUUUUUGUUGGAGUUCGUUAUUUUUGUAGUUUUAAUUUUUAGAUGAACAAUUGAUGCAAAAUCUCAUUACGGCCACUUCUGACUGAAGCAGAUUAAUCUUACGGCUUUGAACGAUCAUUAUGUUUUGUCAACAACAAAUUUAGAAUGAAUUACCAUACCAAUGAUGUUUCAUCUCAGCACAUGAGCUAAUUCAACUAACUAUUGACAAGAUAUAAAGUAUAUAUUAAACCGAAAUCAACUGGCUCAAUACAAGAAUACAAAUACAGAGAAAAUUUCAAAAUAACUAAACAAC
rnacentral:lncRNA from 1 species